GUGUCAGCCGCCGCGGUAAUACAGAGGGUGCGAGCGUUAAUCGGAUUUACUGGGCGUAAAGCGUGCGUAGGCGGCCAUUUAAGUCAAAUGUGAAAUCCCCGAGCUUAACUUGGGAAUUGCAUUCGAUACUGGAUGGCUAGAGUAUGGGAGAGGAUGGUAGAAUUCCAGGUGUAGCGGUGAAAUGCGUAGAGAUCUGGAGGAAUACCGAUGGCGAAGGCAGCCAUCUGGCCUAAUACUGACGCUGGGGUACGAAAGCAUGGGGAGCAAACAGGAUUAGAUACCCGUGUAGUCC
rnacentral:rRNA from 1 species